CCUACGGGCGGCUGCAGUGGGGAAUAUUGGACAAUGGGGGCAACCCUGAUCCAGCCAUGCCGCGUGUGUGAAGAAGGCCCUCGGGUUGUAAAGCACUUUCAGUGAGGAAGAACGCCUGGUGGUUAAUACCCAUCAGGAAAGACAUCACUCACAGAAGAAGCACCGGCUAACUCCGUGCCAGCAGCCGCGGUAAUACGGAGGGUGCGAGCGUUAAUCGGAAUUACUGGGCGUAAAGCGCGCGUAGGUGGCUUGAUAAGCUGGUUGUGAAAGCCCCGGGCUCAACCUGGGAACGGCAUCCGGAACUGUCAAGCUAGAGUGCAGGAGAGGAAGGUAGAAUUCCCGGUGUAGCGGUGAAAUGCGUAGAGAUCGGGAGGAAUACCAGUGGCGAAGGCGGCCUUCUGGACUGACACUGACACUGAGGUGCGAAAGCGUGGGUAGCAAACAGGAUUAGAUACCCUAGUAGUC
rnacentral:rRNA from 1 species